CGCGUGUACUGGUCCGGCCGGGCCUUUCCUUCUGGAGAGCCCCAUGCCCUUCACUGGGCGUGCGGGGGAACCAGGACUUUUACUUUGAAAAAAUUAGAGUGUUCAAAGCAGGCCUUUGCUCGAAUAUUACAGCAUGGAAUAAUAGAAUAGGACGUAUGGUUCUAUUUUGUUGGUUUCUAGGACCAUCGUAAUGAUUAAUAGGGAUAGGCGGGGCACAUUCUAUUGCGACGUCAGAGGUGAAAUUCUUGGAUUGUCGCAAGAGAACCGGCUGCGAAAGCGAUGUGCUAGUAUAUUCCCAUUAGUAAAGGACGAAAGUAGGGGGAUCGAAGAUGAUCAGAUACCGUCGUAGUCUCUACCGUAAACUAUGUUGACUAGGGAUCGGGGUGUGUUUUUCGAAACCAUCUCGGCACCUUAGCGAAAGUAAAGUUUUUGAAUUCAGGGGGGAGUAUGGUCGCAAGGCUGAAACUUAAAGGAAUUGACGGAAGGGCACCACCAGGAGUGGAGCCUGCGGCUUAAUUUGACUCAACACGGGACAGCUUACCAGGUCCAGACAUGAUAAGGAUUGACAAGUUAGAGACUUCUCUUGAUCUCAUGGGUGGUGGUGCAUGGCCGUUUUUAGUCCUUGGAGUGAUUUGUCUGCUUAAUUGCGAUAACGGACGAGACCUUAACCUGCUAAAUAGGUGGACUAACGUUAUGUUGGUUUUCACCUUCUUAGAGGGACUAUUGG
rnacentral:rRNA from 1 species